UUACGGCCGUAUCACGUUGAAACCUCGGUACUUGGAUGAUCAUCGAAGUUAAGCAACUUUAAGCCUGGUCAGUACCUAGAUGGGUGACCGCUUGGGAAUACCAAAUGCUGUAA